GCUAGGUUGGCCGAGUGGUUAAGGCGUCAGACUUAAGAUCUGAUGCUCAAUAGAGCGCGUGGGUUCGAACCCCACACCUAGCA